rnacentral:rRNA from 1 species
UGCAGUCGAGCGGUAACAGAUCCAGCUUGCUGGAUGCUGACGAGCGGCGGACGGGUGAGUAAUGCAUAGGAAUCUGCCCGAUAGUGGGGGAUAACCUGGGGAAACCCAGGCUAAUACCGCAUACGUCCUACGGGAGAAAGGGGGCUCCGGCUCCCGCUAUGGGAUGAGCCUAUGUCGGAUUAGCUAGUUGGUGAGGUAACGGCUCACCAAGGCCACGAUCCGUAGCUGGUCUGAGAGGAUGAUCAGCCACAUCGGGACUGAGACACGGCCCGAACUCCUACGGGAGGCAGCAGUGGGGAAUAUUGGACAAUGGGGGAAACCCUGAUCCAGCCAUGCCGCGUGUGUGAAGAAGGCCCUCGGGUUGUAAAGCACUUUCAGCGAGGAAGAACGCCUAGCGGUUAAUACCCGCUAGGAAAGACAUCACUCGCAGAAGAAGCACCGGCUAACUCCGUGCCAGCAGCCGCGGUAAUACGGAGGGUGCAAGCGUUAAUCGGAAUUACUGGGCGUAAAGCGCGCGUAGGUGGCUUGAUAAGCCGGUUGUGAAAGCCCCGGGCUCAACCUGGGAACGGCAUCCGGAACUGUCAAGCUAGAGUGCAGGAGAGGAAGGUAGAAUUCCCGGUGUAGCGGUGAAAUGCGUAGAGAUCGGGAGGAAUACCAGUGGCGAAAGCGGCCUUCUGGACUGACACUGACACUGAGGUGCGAAAGCGUGGGUAGCAAACAGGAUUAGAUACCCUGGUAGUCCACGCCGUAAACGAUGUCGACCAGCCGUUGGGUGCCUA